UGCAUAUCCCAAAAGCGGAGGAAAAGAAACCAACAGGGAUUGCCUCAGUAACGGCGAGUGAAGCGGCAACAGCUCAAAUUUGAAAUCUGGCUCUUUUAGGGUCCGAGUUGUAAUUUGUAGAAGAUGCUUCGGGUGUGGCUCCGGUCUAAGUUCCUUGGAACAGGACGUCAUAGAGGGUGAGAAUCCCGUACGUGACCGGUGGCCUUCGCCCAUGUGAAGCUCUUUCGACGAGUCGAGUUGUUUGGGAAUGCAGCUCAAAAUGGGUGGUAUAUUUCAUCUAAAGCUAAAUAUUGGCCAGAGACCGAUAGCGCACAAGUAGAGUGAUCGAAAGAUGAAAAGCACUUUGGAAAGAGAGUUAAACAGUACGUGAAAUUGUUGAAAGGGAAGCGCUUGCAAUCAGACUUGCACGCCGUCGAUCAUCCGAGGUUUUCCCCGGUGCACUCGGCGGUGUUCAGGCCAGCAUCGGUCUGGGUGGUUGGAUAAAGGCCCCAGGAAUGUGGCUCCCUUCGGGGAGUGUUAUAGCCUGGGGUGCAAUGCAGCCUAUCCGGACUGAGGACCGCGCUCGGCUAGGAUGCUGCGUAAACUGCC
rnacentral:rRNA from 1 species